rnacentral:rRNA from 1 species
GGCUCAGGACGAACGCUGGCGGCGUGCCUAAUACAUGCAAGUCGAGCGAACCGACGGGAGCUUGCUCCCUUAGGUUAGCGGCGGACGGGUGAGUAACACGUGGGUAACCUGCCUGUAAGACUGGGAUAACUCCGGGAAACCGGGGCUAAUACCGGAUGCUUGAUUGAACCGCAUGGUUCAAUUAUAAAAGGUGGCUUUUAGCUACCACUUACAGAUGGACCCGCGGCGCAUUAGCUAGUUGGUGAGGUAACGGCUCACCAAGGCGACGAUGCGUAGCCGACCUGAGAGGGUGAUCGGCCACACUGGGACUGAGACACGGCCCAGACUCCUACGGGAGGCAGCAGUAGGGAAUCUUCCGCAAUGGACGAAAGUCUGACGGAGCAACGCCGCGUGAGUGAUGAAGGUUUUCGGAUCGUAAAACUCUGUUGUUAGGGAAGAACAAGUACCGUUCGAACAGGGCGGUACCUUGACGGUACCUAACCAGAAAGCCACGGCUAACUACGUGCCAGCAGCCGCGGUAAUACGUAGGUGGCAAGCGUUGUCCGGAAUUAUUGGGCGUAAAGCGCGCGCAGGCGGUUUCUUAAGUCUGAUGUGAAAGCCCCCGGCUCAACCGGGGAGGGUCAUUGGAAACUGGGGAACUUGAGUGCAGAAGAGGAGAGUGGAAUUCCACGUGUAGCGGUGAAAUGCGUAGAGAUGUGGAGGAACACCAGUGGCGAAGGCGACUCUC